rnacentral:rRNA from 1 species
UACGGAGGGGGCAAGCGUUGUCCGGACUCACUGGGCGUAAAGGGUGCGUAGGCGGUUGCAUGCGUCGGCGCUGAAAUCCCUGGGCUUAACCCAGGGCGCGUGCCGAUACGAUGCGACUUGAGGCUCGGAGAGGGUGGUAGAACUCCUGGUGUAGUGGUGAAAUGCGUAGAGAUCAGGAAGAAUCAGCCCGUGGCGCAAGCGACCACCUGGCCGAGACCUGGACGCUGAGGCACGAAAGCGUGGGGAGCGAACCGG